ACACACAUCUAAUAUGCCUUUCAGUGGACCAUCAGCAGCCUUUCUGAAUGCUGCAUUCACAUCCUCAGCUGUAAUUCCUUUCUUCUCGACGUUGACAACAAGGUCAACGACUGAGACGUUAGGUGUUGGCACUCGGAGAGCAAUGCCAUUCAGCUUCCCCUUGAGCUGAGGUAGCACUAAAGACACUGCCUUGGCUGCACCAGUACUGGUUGGGACAAUGUUCAAUGCUGCUGCUCUCGCUCUCCUUAAGUCACGGUGUGAAGCAUCGAGAAGCCUCUGAUCUCCGGUGUAAGAGUGAGUUGUUGUCAUUGUACCCUUCACAAUUCCAAGUUCUUCAUCCAUGACUUUCACAAAUGGAGCCAAGCAGUUAGUGGUGCAAGAGGCAUUGCUUAUGAUGUUAGCAAUCUCAUGAGAGUAGUCUUGCUCGUUCACUCCAACAACAUAGGUUGGAAUGUCAGCACCUUUUGCUGGUGCAGUGAUGAUAACUUUCUUGGCACCAGCUUGGAUGUGCUUCCCUGCACCUGGACCAUCAACAAACACACCAGUUCCCUCAAUAACAAUGUCAAUGCCAAGUUCAGCCCAAGGAAGCUUGAGGGGAUCCCUGCUAGAAACUACCUUGAUGUGCUUUCCAUCAACACUAAUGGUUUCAUUAUCCACUAUUUUGACAUCAGCUUUGAAUGUUCCCAGCAUUGAAUCAUACUUUAGCAAGUGAGAUGCGUUCUUGACACCGCCACUGUCAUUGACAACCACAACAUCAAGUGGUGAGUCUUUGCGACCAUGCCAGCAUCGGAGGAAAUUCCUACCAAUUCUACCAAAACCGUUGAUAGCAACCUUCAAUUUAGCAACAGUUUCUCCCUUAGCCGGGGCUGAUCCUGUAGUCUUUGGAGUGAGUUGUGCAGAGACAACAUCAAAGAAAGAAGACUCUCUGUUGGAAAAAGUCACACAUCCACUUGAUCUUAGACCAGAAAAUUCAGCUACUUCAAAUUUCUUGGAUAAACAUUGUGUGGGGAAUGAGUAGGAGUUCUUAUUGGAAGGAAGCCUUGUGCUUGUAGGAAUUCGUGAAGAAGCCAAAGCUGCAUGAGAAGCCAUGGCUGCAACUAAAUGAUCUUGAGGAAAGCUACUUCUUUUUUGGUAUAUAUGGUUUAAA
rnacentral:misc_RNA from 1 species